AAGGUUCUAAGGACUAUGUCCCUUACACAAAUCCUAAACCUUAAAUCAAAUCCUAACCAAAUUUUAAAUCCUAAACCAAAUCUUAAAUCCUAAAUCAAAUCCUAAUCAAAUCUUAAAUCUUAAAUCAAACCUUGAUCAAAUUCUAGUCAAAUUCUAAACCUUAAUCAAAUCCUAAUAUAAUCUUAAUAAAAUCUUAAUCAAACCUUAAAUCCUGAACCAAACCUUAACUAAAUCCUAAAUCUUAAACCAAAUCCUAAAUCCUAAAUCAAAACUUAACCAAAUCUUAAAUUCUAAAUCAAA
rnacentral:lncRNA from 1 species